rnacentral:lncRNA from 10 species
AUUCAGGCAGCAGCAGUUGGCAGCCUGAGGCAGCAGAGGGAAGCUGCGGCAGGGCUGAUGCCUGAGUGCACAGGUGACACCUUCCGGGGCCUCCCUGCAAUACCUGGCAGGAGGAAGAGACCUUGAAACAUCUGCUGAAAAAAUCAGAAGAUUCAGCAAUACUGAGCCCACCACCCCAAAUGAAAAAAAUUCUCCUGGCUCCAGGAUGAAGUAACUGCUUCAUCAGAAGCCCUUCAGAAGAACACACAGGUUCCUGGAAGAAUGAUGGAUGAACUGAAAUCUGAAGGAUGGAGAGAAGUUUGCCGUGUUACAAAGGAGGCAAGUGGAAGAGAAAUAAGAGAGUGGGUGGAGAAGACCUGAGAUGAUUCUACAAGGAGGGACUGUCAUCACACAGACCUAGAGCUGCCUUACCCUAAUGAUCCUUUAUGCCACCGCCUUGAGAAGGAGGAAGACAUGAGCUGAAAUGAAAACAUCAAGUAGAGAAAAGACUCCACAACAGCCCUCCCAGCUGUGAGGUGGGCUGGUGAUGUGUGCUGUUGACCUGCAUACUUAAAUCUAAUAACACAAACGGAUGCCUGGAGCUUGUACCAGAGCAAAGAGGAGAAAAUUAUGUGAAACGCUGGACAUUGGAAAUGGGAGGGGGAGGAUGCAGACUGAGGCCUCAUCUAGGCAGGUGGUCCUUGCAAUCUGAGCAAAGGGUUCUCUUUGAUCAUGAUCUUUGGAUGACCGGAUUUUAGGAGCCAAGGCCACCUGUGAAGUCACUGACAGAGAACAAAUAGCUGAAGAAGCAGGAGGAAAAUAUGUUUCAGUGAAAGUGCACUCACAUCCAGCCACCCCACCAGGCCCCACUUCCCAAGAGACACAGUUCCUGUCUGGCCACAUGGCCUUCACAGAGACAUGGUUUGCCACGACAAAAACAUGUCACUACCGAGGACUGAGGCAACUGCCUUCCAGGGACUCUAUUGAGACUCAGAACUAUGCUCUCCAAAACAGAGAGACUUCUUUAGAGCUUCGAGAACUCCCUUCUAUUGACUCAAACGGUCAACCUCUUGAUGUCCUACCUGUUUUCCCCAAACUUAAUUCAGCUGCUGUGGGGUCGUACAGGCUGAUAUAUUUUUUUAAGUGGCCUUUGGAUUUGUAACCCUGUCUGAGUCCCUUACUCCAACAUGAACCUGAGAGAGGAGGCUCUGGUCUCAAGUUCUUACUGCAAGGA